rnacentral:rRNA from 1 species
AUUGAACGCUGGCGGCAUGCCUCACACAUGCAAGUCGAACGGUAGAGGGGGCAACCCCUUGAGAGUGGCGAACGGGUGAGUAAUGCAUCGGAACGUGCCCAGUUGUGGGGGAUAACACUUCGAAAGAAGUGCUAAUACCGCAUACGACCUGAGGGUGAAAGCGGGGGACUCGCAAGAGCCUCGCGCAAUUGGAGCGGCCGAUGUCAGAUUAGGUAGUUGGUGGGGUAAAGGCCUACCAAGCCGACAAUCUGUAGCUGGUCUGAGAGGACGACCAGCCACACUGGGACUGAGACACGGCCCAGACUCCUACGGGAGGCAGCAGUGGGGAAUUUUGGACAAUUGACGCAAGUCUGAUCCAGCCAUGCCGCGUGCAGGAAGAAGGCCUUCGGGUUGUAAACUGCUUUUGUCAGGGAAGAAAUCCUUUGUGUUAAUACCUCGGGGGGAUGACGGUACCUGAAGAAUAAGCACCGGCUAACUACGUGCCAGCAGCCGCCGUAAGAC